UUGCCCGAUAGAGGGGGAUAACUACUGGAAACGGUGGCUAAUACCGCAUAAUGUCUACGGACCAAAGCAGGGGCUCUUCGGACCUUGCACUAUCGGAUGAACCCAUAUGGGAUUAGCUAGUAGGUGGGGUAAAGGCUCACCUAGGCGACGAUCUCUAGCUGGUCUGAGAGGAUGAUCAGCCACACUGGGACUGAGACACGGCCCAG
rnacentral:rRNA from 1 species